AACGGAGGGCAAAACACAGAAGAGGCGGUGGUUACAUCGUCUGUUUAACGGAUAGUGAGAGAGAGUAAGAUGCCAUCCCAUCAGUUAGUAAGUAGGGUAAGGGCCUACUUAGACGAAGACGGGUACGGGGAAUUAUCGUUUGAUUCCGGAGAGGGAGCCUGAGAGACGGCUACCAGGUCCAAGGACAGCAGCAGGCGCGAAAAUUACCGCAGCCUGCAUUCAGGGCGGUAGUAAGGAGACGUGAAUACGAUGUGCAGGUAAAUGAUGCACUAAAUACAGGAGGACAAGACUGGUGCCAGCACCCGCGGUAAUACCAGCUCCUGGAGUGUCUAUGAUGAUUGCUGCAGUUAAAGAGUUCGUAGUCGGAGCGUUUUGACCGGCGUGACAGACUGCCACUCAAGGGGAGUUUUGCGCCGUGAUUACGCGGAAUGAGGAGCGUCUAGGGGCCAGGUUAUUAAGCGACGAGGGGUGAAAUCUGGUGACUCGCUUAGGAGCGACAGAGGCGAAAGCGCUGGCCAGGGGCGAAUCCGAUGAUAAAGGACGUAGGCUAGAGGAUCGAAGACGAUUAGAGACCGUUGUAGUUCUAGCAGUAAACGAUGCCGAUGCCGUGGUGCUUUGUGAGCGACGCGGAAGAGAAAUCUAGUAGGGCCCUGGGGAGAGUACGCGCGCAAGCGAGAAAUUUAAAGGAAAUUGACGGAAGAACACCACAAGGAGUGGAGUGUGCGGCUUAAUUUGACUCAACGCGGGACAGCUUACCAGGCCCGACGGCCGGACGAGUGUGGUACACGAUAGGCCGGAGAGUGGUGCAUGGCCGUACACAAGAGGGGUG
rnacentral:rRNA from 1 species